UUCUUCCUCAUUUUGAAUUCGAACCUACUCACCGUUUCUUAGAGUCGUUAAUCACCAGAUCACCGGAGCUCUACAAAAAGCUACAGCGUCUUCUCAUCGUCUUCUUCCUCACAUCAGAUCACCAGAGCUAAUUUCUCAGAGUUGUUUCUUCUCCGGGGCUUCAUCUCCCUCAUCUUCUUCCUCAUUUUGAACCUAUGACAUCCUCACCGUUUCUCAGAACCAUGAAUCACUAGAUCACUGGAGCUCUACAGAAAGUGUCUUCUCAUCGUCUUCUUCCUCACACCGGAUCACCAGAGGUAAUUUCUCAGAGUUGUUUCUUCUCUGGAGCUUCAUCUCCCUCACUACCAGAGCUACAACGUCUUCCCCAUUUCAAAACUACAACUUCUUCCCCAUUUUUCAAGCUAUUAAUCACAAGAGCUUCAUCUCUCAUCACUGGAUCUAUAAUGUUUUCCCCAUUUCAAAUUUUCUCAUAGCCGUUUAUAACCAAAGCUUCAUCUCUCAUCAUUGGAGCUUCAUUUCUUACUCAUCACCGGAGCUUCAUCUCACCGUUUCAUCAUCGGAGCUUCAUUUCUACUUGUGUUCACCGUUUCAUUACUGGAGCUUCAUCUCUAUCUAUGUUCGUUGUUUUAUCACCGGCCUUCCUUAUUUAAGACGUUGAAACAAUCUCAAAUCCCCUUGUGUUCACCGGUCACCGGCCGGGGAUGACACUCAAUGUUCACCAUUCAGAGGAAGCUAGAGCAUCGGUUUACUGUUCACCGUCCGUCCGAGGCACCUUUUGUUGACCAUUAACAGGAUGCUCGAAGCUGGUUUUAACGGCCGUUGGAAGGUUUCUCAAGCCCUUGCAUUCAACUGCUAUGGAGGUGGUUCCCUCGUGUUUCCGGCAUGACCCCUGUGUUUCCGGUUUAUUCUGGUUUGGCCACCCAUGCAUUUGUUGACGCUGCUUGACCACAAGUAUGAAUAGCCAACGGAGUGUCGAGAAUCAAUCUCCGAGUAGUUUGCAGUAUGAUACUAAGUAUUGCUAUUUUAAAUGAAAAUGCAUCCUUUGAAUUUCUACAACUCGGAAUAACCUGCAAAAGUUGUUUAAUAGCUAUCGAUUAAUAUCCAAGGAGCAGGUGCUGGAUAGCCCAACGACUGAAAACGAUUCUAUUGGCAGUUGCAAAUUUUUUGAGUAGACGAUUCCUUAAGGUUGGUCGGAUGAGGUUACAUCAGGAAAUAGUCAUGGUGAUGUUCUAGAAUGCCUUGAAAAUGUGGAGAGAGAAGUCGAUGUUUGCAUAAGGCAGAUUGAGUCUAUGAAAUCAGUCAAUGAGUUAGCUAUGUUUUAAUUCUUUUUGUUAUUAUUCUCCUUACAUUAGUCUUUUAGAAAUAGUUUAUCAUUAUUGGUGAAUACGUAGGUUCAGUGUUUUUAAUAUUGUGUUAAAAGA